GGAUUCUUAGCUCAGUUGGUUAGAGCAUCCGGCUCAUAACCGGACGGUCUUCGGUUCAAGUCCGAGAGGAUCCA
rfam:Firmicutes bacterium CAG:102 genomic scaffold, scf28